GUUGUUAUUAGUAAAAUAUCUGAGAAAGACAAUGAAACGAUACAAGUUUCUAAUACUAAUGUAAUACCAGUAGAAAAUACCGAAGUAGAAGCUUCAACAAGUGAUUGCAAACUUCCAAAUGCGCCUACUAAACAGAAACACAGUAUUCAGGAGUACAAUAAUCAAGGGAGUACAUUCAAUGUUCGCGAUUGGGUAAAAGAACAUGAUGCGAAACAAAAAGGAAAUCUUCUUUGUUAAGUGCGCUAGAUGCCGACAUAAUAGACAGUAAAGCUCGUCAUGAGUUGAUAAGAAUAGUUUGCGCAGAAAUCGUCAAGUUCAAUAAUAACAUAUUUCACGGCCAGAUUCCGCGGUGGCUGGACGCGUUUCUGUACCGUUGUACCGUUGGUUUAAUAAAGAGCGAGCUUUUCUUUAAACAGUG